AUGGCGACCACCGCGAUGGCGCUCUCCCCCUCCUCCUUCGCCGGGAAGGCGGUGAAGGACCUGCCGUCGUCGGCGCUCUUCGGGGAGGCGCGCGUCACCAUGCGCAAGACCGCGGCCAAGGCCAAGCCGGUGUCGUCGGGCAGCCCGUGGUACGGCUCCGACCGCGUGCUCUACCUCGGCCCGCUAUCCGGCGACCCCCCGAGCUACCUCACCGGUGAGUUCCCCGGCGACUACGGAUGGGACACCGCGGGGCUCUCGGCCGACCCCGAGACCUUCGCCAAGAACCGGGAGCUGGAGGUGAUCCACUGCCGGUGGGCCAUGCUGGGCGCGCUCGGCUGCGUCUUCCCGGAGCUGCUCGCCCGCAACGGCGUCAAGUUCGGCGAGGCCGUGUGGUUCAAGGCCGGCUCCCAGAUCUUCAGCGAGGGCGGCCUCGACUACCUCGGCAACCCCAGCCUCGUCCAUGCGCAGAGCAUCCUCGCCAUCUGGGCCUGCCAGGUCGUGCUCAUGGGCGCCGUCGAGGGCUACCGCGUCGCCGGCGGCCCGCUCGGCGAGAUCGUCGACCCGCUCUACCCCGGCGGCAGCUUCGACCCCCUGGGCCUCGCUGACGACCCCGAGGCGUUCGCGGAGCUCAAGGUGAAGGAGAUCAAGAACGGCCGCCUCGCCAUGUUCUCCAUGUUCGGCUUCUUCGUGCAGGCCAUCGUCACCGGCAAGGGCCCUCUCGAGAACCUCGCCGACCACCUUGCCGACCCCGUCAACAACAACGCCUGGGCCUUUGCCACCAACUUCGUGCCCGGCAAGUAA
rnacentral:rRNA from 1 species